rnacentral:rRNA from 1 species
CCGUUCUUAGAGUUUGAUCCUGGCUCAGGACGAACGCUGGCGGCGUGCUUGAUACAUGCAAGUCAAGGAGAACAUUAUCUUCGGAUAAUAAGUAAACUGGCGAACGGGUGAGUAACGCGUAAACAACUUGCCUCAGAGAUUGGGACAACAUUGGGAAACCAGUGCUAAUACCAAAUAAUGCAGCGGGCUCUUCGGAGCACAGUUGUUAAAGUAGGCUUCGGCUUACACUUUGAGAUAGGUUUGCGUCCGAUUAGUUAGUUGGUAGGGUAAUUGCCUACCAAGACCAAGAUCGGUAGCUGGUCUGAGAGGAUGAUCAGCCACACUGGAAUUGAGAUACGGUCCAGACUCCUACGGGAGGCAGCAGUAAGGAAUUUUGCACAAUGGGCGAAAGCCUGAUGCAGCAACGCCGCGUGAACGAUGAAGUUUUUAGGAAUGUAAAGUUCUGUCGUAUGGGAAGAGAUCUUUCGGAUGUUAAUACCAUUCGUUAAUGACGGUACCAUACAAGAAAGCACCGGCUAACUUCGUGCCAGCAGCCGCGGUAAUACGAGGGGUGCUAGCGUUGUCCGGAUUUACUGGGCGUAAAGGGUACGUAGGCGUUUUAAUAAGUUGUAUGUUAAAUAUCUUAGCUUAACUAAGAAAGUGCAUCCAAAACUGUUAAAAUAGAGUUUGAGAGAGGAACGCAGAAUUCAUGGUGGAGCGGUGACAUGCGUAGAUAUCAUGAGGAAAGUCAAAUGCGAAGGCAGCCUUCUGGCUCAAAACUGACGCUGAGGUACGAAAGCGUGGGGAGCGAACAGGAUUAGAUACCCUGGUAGUCCACGCCGUAAACGAUGAGUAUUUGGUGCUGGGGGAUUCG